rnacentral:rRNA from 1 species
CCUACGGGCGGCAGCAGUGAGGAAUAUUGGUCAAUGGCCGCAGGGCUGAACCAGCCAAGUCGCGUGAGGGAUGACGGUCCUAUGGAUUGUAAACCUCUUUUGUCAGGGAGCAAAGGGCGCCACGUGUGGCGCUUUGCGAGUACCUGAAGAAAAAGCAUCGGCUAACUCCGUGCCAGCAGCCGCGGUAAUACGGAGGAUGCGAGCGUUAUCCGGAUUUAUUGGGUUUAAAGGGUGCGCAGGCGGAAUGUCAAGUCAGCGGUAAAAUUUCGGGGCUCAACCCCGUCGUGCCGUUGAAACUGGCGUUCUUGAGUGAGCGAGAAGUAGGCGGAAUGCGUGGUGUAGCGGUGAAAUGCAGAGAUAUCACGCAGAACUCCGAUUGCGAAGGCAGCAUACCGGCGCUCAACUGACGCUCAUGCACGAAAGCGUGGGUAUCGAACAGGAUUAGAUACCCUAGUAGUC